CAAUAAUGCAAAGAUCAGAAAGUUUUCGUUCACCUCUUAUUGCAAAACGUUGUCUCUCGAGCGAUUGAAUAAUUUUUUUAUGCACAGAAAAAGAUAUAUGCAAACAAAUUGUAAGGAAAUGUCUUAAAAUAUGGUAAAAGAUUGGAUAGAAUGCUUUUUAAUUUCCACGAAAAGUUGGCGGAGUUUGUUAAUUGCACGAGUGAACGGUAAACAAAUUGUAGCAAGUGAACAAAAAGUUAUCUUUGGAGAAAAAAAGUUUAACUUUAAGUUUUAAAUAUCAGCAACAAAAAUAACCCGCGUGCCAAUUAUUAUUGUUCGUUCGGUUCUUGGAUAAGAAGGAGAACACUUGCACUUGUUUGCGAGUUUGAUAACGGAAAAUAAGUAUAUACAAGAGUAGUGUGUGAAAAUAAAAACAAGAAAUCAAAAAAAAAAAAAAAAAAAUAGUUAA